rnacentral:rRNA from 1 species
AUUGAACGCUGGCGGCAGGCUUAACACAUGCAAGUCGGGCGGGGUGAUGGUGCUUGCACUAUCACUUAGCGGCGGACGGGUGAGUAAUGCUUAGGAAUCUGCCUAUUAGUGGGGGACAACAACUCGAAAGGGAUGCUAAUACCGCAUACGUCCUACGGGAGAAAGCAGGGGAUCACUUGUGACCUUGCGCUAAUAGAUGAGCCUAAGUCGGAUUAGCUAGUUGGUGGGGUAAAGGCCUACCAAGGCGACGAUCUGUAGCGGGUCUGAGAGGAUGAUCCGCCACACUGGGACUGAGACACGGCCCAGACUCCUACGGGAGGCAGCAGUGGGGAAUAUUGGACAAUGGGGGGAACCCUGAUCCAGCCAUGCCGCGUGUGUGAAGAAGGCCUUAUGGUUGUAAAGCACUUUAAGCGAGGAGGAGGCUCUUUUGGUUAAUACCCAAGAUGAGUGGACGUUACUCGCAGAAUAAGCACCGGCUAACUCUGUGCCAGCCGCCGCGGUAA